GCGACGCUCCCCCGCCCUCGGGAGGGAUCACCGACUGGGCUGGGGGCUCAGACAGGCAACCCGGCCUGCAGAGCCGGGCGGCGGGGGCUGUGCUGGCGCCGGCAGGCGAGAGGAAUCACAGAGCGGGGCGCCCAGCCUCAUCAUGGGGCCCACAAAGACUUCCCAUGGGAGUGGGGUCUAGUGCAGGGGCGCCCCGAAGGACGAGUGGGAGAUGGGGACACGCGGCGCAGAGAGACUUCUCGUGGAUGGAGCCGAUGGAGGCCCAGUGUGGAAGAGAAAGGGGUCAAGGAGACGAAUAAGGAGCCACCAGAGACGCAGGGGGAAUUCCCCCCAGAGGAUGCGGGAAGCCGGGGAAAGGAAGGGAAUCCGGAAGGAAGGGCUGAGAGCCGGUCAGGUGCUGGCAGAAGGGCUGGUUGGAUAGAGACUGGGACGGGCCCAGAGCAUUUGGCGUCCUCGACAUUCAUAUACACUUGGAGAGAUGAUUCCCUGGAGAUCCAAGUGCCUGUAUAGACAAUCUUUUCUAGGGGUUCUACAAUUAAGAACCCCUAGGAGAGGGGUUCUUAAGUGAGGAGAGGGUAGAUGUAGAAAUUGGAGACGAGAAUAGAGUGUUGUAAAGGCAUGCGUGGUUAGAGAACUGGCUCUGGAUUCAGGAGUCCCCACUCACUAGCUGUGAGACCUUCAGCAAGUCACUUAGCCUCUCUGUGCCUCGGUUUUCUCAUCUCUAAGGUGGGGAUGAUGAUGGCCAUACCUGCUUCAUAGAGUGACAAUUAGAUGAGAUGAUGUCUGUAAAAUUACAUAACACAGCACCCAAAAGUAGUACUAGUUAUUUUUCCCUUUUCUUAUUAGAGCAGCUUGGGCACAUUUUGAUGUCCGUGGGAAUGAACAGGUAGAGUGGGUGGUAUUGAAGCCAGAGGGGAGAGAAGGGACCCACAGAUGGGGAGAGAAGUCUUGGGUGUUUGUUUUAUCUCAAACCCCAGGGAAAGGAGGGAACAGGUAGGGCUGUAGGAAAGUUUGCAGCUAUGGGGUACACAGUUAAAGGGAGUGUCUUCUCAUGGUCUUGAUGCAGGCCUGGAGGUCGUUUGCUAUAGGGGUGAAGGUCCUGAUGUACACUGUGGCUGUAAGAUGCCGUGCCCUCUUUGCCACCAGCCUGUGGCAGCCCCGGUGUUACACCAGGGCAGGUGGGCAGUUUAAUGUAUCUCAGGUCCGAUGACCUGCACUGCCCACCUGUGAGGCUCCAGUAGAUAGAUGUGAAAACACAGUGUAAGCAUAAUGUCCCACUUUCAUCCUUUUCUCUGAGGAGCUGGAAGGCCUGUAGUCACCAUCUGAGCCAAAUGUCAAAGUCUUUCAAGUACUUCACUUGGGCUACACACCACACUUUGAUCCACGAUCUCAUUUAGUCAUCACAACAGUUGGGUGAAAUAGGUAUUAUUGUCCCAUUUUACAGAUGCAGAAUCUGAGUUUCAGAGAAGUUAAGGACUUUGUCCCAGGGCCCGCAGUUAGUAAGCAGUGGACCCAGGAUUUCAACUCAGCUCUGUCUGACCUCAAAACCCAUGAUCUGAAACCAAUGUGAAAGUUUGCAAAACCUCUGUAGCAGCUGAACUCGAUGGAAAGAUAUGUAGGGAUCAUCUUCUCCAUUUAAUAGAUGAGACAAGAGCUGGGUACUCUGAUCUCCAUCAGAGAUCACACGCACAGAGCUUGGGGCCCCACAGCCCUGGAGUGAAUCCUGCUCCACCACCAGAGGCUGUGUGCCUUUGGACCAGGCAUCUUGCUUCUCUGACCCUAUGUACAGCUGCAGAAGAAUUCCUUGCAGGUUGCUGUAAGGAUUUGGAGGGAAACUGUUGCCCAGCACACAGUACACAUGCCAGGAGCCAUCGUUUCCAAGGUGUACUUCUCCUGCAAACGUGGAUCUACGUCCCACUUGGCUGCUGAGACCAGCUGCCGUGAUCUUGUAGUUGUUUAAUGCUUUGUUCUCCUUGAGGCAGCAAAGUGGUGGCACCUGACCGGAGCAUGUAGCCACCUAUGACUUCCUGAGUGGGGUGGUGCAGGGAGGGCCCUGAGGAGUCUGUGGUCCUAAGGCCUUGGAUUUCAUCAGGGCUUUCCUGCUCCUUCUGGUUGCCUCAGUCCCAGGCAAGAUAGGGUCCCAGAAUCUUACAGCCUAGAAGCCACCUGUUGCGACUUCUUUUUUACAGAUGGGGUCAUCAGAACCCACUGUGAGGAAGUGACUUCUCUUUGAGAUCAUCCAGACACUCCACACAGAGCAGAGCAAAAGUGCCUAGAACUUGAAAUUUUGGACUUGCCUUCAACACCCUGGGGAUUUCCACCAGGAAGCCUUCAGUCACCAUCCAGGGGAUUUUUAUCACCACAAAGGGUAAUUCCUGCUCCAUCCCUGCUGUGACUCAGCUGUGACGUUGAACCACACAAGCCAGAGAGAAGAAGAUAAAGUCAUCAGAGCUCCUACUCACCAGAGAGUGAGGCCCAGGCCAGGACUCCACAGGGCUGGUCCCCUGUCCUGAAGCAACUUAGACAGGCCCUCUGGCCAGCCUGGGACCCUGAGAUGGCAUCCAGCUCAGGCAGCAGCCCACGCCCGGCCCCUGAUGAGAAUGAGUUUCCCUUUGGGUGCCCUCCCACCGUCUGCCGGGACCCAAAGGAGCCUAGGGCUCUCUGCUGCACAGGCUGUCUCUCUGAGAACCUGAGGAACAGCGAGGAUCAGAUCUGCCCCAAAUGCAGAGGGGAAGACCUCCAGUCUGUAAGCCCAGGAAGCCGUCUUCGAACUCUGGAGAGGGCUCAUCCCGAGGUGGCCGAGGCUGGAGUUGGGUGCCCCUUUGCAGGUGUCGGCUGCUCCUUCAAGGGAAGCCCACAGUCCGUGCAAGAGCAUGAGGUCACCUCCCAGACCUCCCACCUAAACCUGCUGUUGGGAUUCAUGAAACAGUGGAAGACCCGGCUGGGCUCUGGCCUGGAGUCUGGGCCCAUGGCCCUGGAGCAGAACCUGUCAGACCUGCAGCUGCAGGCAGCCGUGGAAGUGGCGGGGGACCUGGAGGUCGAUUGCUACCGGGCACCCUGCUCCGAGAGCCAGGAGGAGCUGGCCCUGCAGCACUUCAUGAAGGAGAAGCUUCUGGCUGAGCUGGAAGGGAAGCUGCGUGUGUUUGAGAACAUUGUUGCUGUCCUCAACAAGGAGGUGGAGGCCUCCCACCUGGCCCUGGCCACCUCCAUCCACCAGAGCCAGCUGGACCGUGAGCGCAUCCUGAGCUUGGAGCAGAGGGUGGUGGAGCUGCAGCAGACCCUGGCCCAGAAAGACCAGGCCCUGGGCAAGCUGGAGCAGAGCUUGCGCCUCAUGGAGGAGGCCUCCUUUGAUGGCACCUUCCUGUGGAAGAUCACCAACGUCACCAGGCGGUGCCAUGAGUCGGCCUGUGGCAGGACCGUCAGCCUCUUCUCCCCAGCCUUCUACACUGCCAAGUAUGGCUACAAGUUAUGCCUGCGGCUGUACCUGAAUGGAGAUGGCACUGGAAAGAGGACCCACCUGUCGCUUUUCAUCGUGAUCAUGAGAGGGGAGUAUGACGCGUUGCUGCCAUGGCCUUUCCGGAACAAGGUCACCUUCAUGCUGCUGGACCAGAACAACCGUGAGCACGCCAUUGACGCCUUCCGGCCUGACCUAAGCUCGGCGUCCUUCCAGAGGCCCCAGAGUGAAACCAAUGUGGCCAGUGGCUGCCCACUCUUCUUCCCCCUCAACAAACUGCAGUCACCCAAGCACGCCUAUGUGAAGGACGACACGAUGUUCCUCAAGUGCAUUGUGGAGACCAGCACUUAGGGUGGGCGGGGCUCCUGAGGGAGCUCCAACUCAGACGGGAGCUGGCCAGAGGACUGUGAUGCCCUGCCCUUGGCACCCAAGACCCCAGGGCACAAAGAUGGGCGAAGGUUGGCACAAUCCGAGCAAGACUGAGGGGUCGACUUUGGGCUGGCUAUCCGGUUAGGAUGGCAGGACGUGGGCUGGGCCCACAAAGGCAAAGGGUCCAGAAGGAAACAGGCAGAGCUGCUCCCCUCUGCACGGACAAUGCAACACCGGGAGGCCAGGGAGCCACUCUGGCCCUGAAUGUUGAGGUGGACUGUCACCAAGAUGGGAAGAAAAUGGAACCAGGUCUGGAACCGUAGGACCCAAGCAAAGAAGCUCUCGAGCUGGGAAGAUCUCUGCAGGGCCACCAGAGAGACCUGGACACAGGCCUGCCCUCUUUUUGUCCAGGGUCAGAAACAGGACCGGGUGGAAGGGAUGGGGUGCCAGUGUGAAUGCAGUCUGUCCAGGCCUGGACUGAGUUCCCCAUCACUGGAGCUGUGACAGUGUGGCAGCAGAGACUGUGGAGGCAGUGGAGACUGACUUCUUCCCGCUGGCAGCUGGAUGUCACACAUGAAGGUCUGGCCUAGCGAGCGAUGGGUCUAGGCCCUGAAGCUGAUGUCCUAGCAAUAACCUCUGGAUCCCUACUCACCAAGUGUUGGGUCAAGGGGGAUUUGUAGAACAAGCCCCCAUGAGAAACAGUUGUUACUGUACACUUUUGAUUGUCUAUUUCUGAUGGCAAGAGAUACAUACCCUCUUCAAAGAGCAUGAGAUGCAGCCAUUCUUUCAGCAAAGCUUCAUUGACACCUAGAUCUGUUAACUGUGUUCGACAUUGAAGGGAGAAAGGCAAGAUGUGCACUCUGGCCUCAAGAAACUCUUAGUUCAGUGGAGGAAAUGAGCACAUAAGAUCAUUAUGACAGAGUAAGAGAAGAUUAGAGAAAGCACAGAAUCCCAGUGGGUAAAGGAGGGAAGGCUUCAGGGAAGAAGUGGCAUUUAAAUUCAGCCUGAGAAUAUUUUGAAAUGCAGAGGAUGGGGAAAAGGGAAGCGUACCAGCUUGAAAAUGGGAAGCAGUCUUGGCUGAGGGCAGGGUCUGUGUGGCAGGAUGGAGGAGGGAGGCAGAAGGGUCAGAUGAACUGGAGUGUAGACAGCAUCAGAUGCAGCAGUGCGCCUCCCCCUCCCCAGGAAAGCACCUCCUGGUAACCCCUGGGCCUACUGAAAGCAGGAUGAAACGAUAAUUUAACAUGCUGAAUGAUUGAAUGAUUUCUCUUCCAACAAAGCUCUAUGUUAAGUGUA